UUCAAAAGCAUAUGUUAGAUUUAACUUGUGCUGUCGUCAAAACCAACUAAGAAAUAAACACAUUUCUGCCCUUUAUGCCAGAAAAAUCUCUGCAGGAAUCCAAAUAUAUUAGAAAACAGGGCAGUGGUUAUAGUCCAUAAAUAGAGCAGUAUGGGGCUUUGUAUUAUAGCAUCUUCUUUUGAUUUGACACCAGCUGUGGUAGCUGUUUGAUGUGAGCGGAGACGCCGUCUGUAUCCUCACAAAUUAGGACACAUUUGCAGGAAUGGAUGUGUCAUUACGCCACAACGGCUCCAUUUUAUUUGAUCGAAUUUAAAUUAGGUGGGAUGUGUAUUUGUGCAAGAACAUGCCACAAUUAACUGCUAUUGAAAAUGCAAGCCUGUCUUUUUCUGGCACCUGGUCUGACAGCAACACUAAACUCCAGUCAGACAGGAAAACUGGUUUGUCUGGUUGCAUUUGGUUUGCUUUUACUUCAUUUUCCAUUUAAGGACUUUAAGGACAGUUUACACCAUUAUCACCUUUAUUAGCUUAUUUAGUGUAGUGAGAUCACGUAACUACCAGCACAGCUUCACCCAACUUCUGCCUGACUUGAUGUCUAAUCAGUCAGUAACUGAAAACAAUUAAAUUAGAUUAGCUGUGUUUUGUCGUUGUCCCUGCAAAGAGCACAUUGUUUACCUGUAACGCCUCCGCUGAAGCACCUUUUGUCGGCAUUUUUGUCUUAACAGGAGCUCUGUCACUUUAUUGACAGGGGAAUGUAGAGUGUCCUGGAUUUCUGUUGCACCAGUCUACUUAAUCUUGUCACCCUAUAUGGUGUCGGGAUAUUAGUCCUACUUUGGUCCGUCUUCACACAGAAAAUCUGAGACACAAUGUAAUUUUUGUACAGAAGAUGGGAUUUUUUUGUGAGAGCAGACAAUAUCAUGGCAACAACCCUGGAGAUUCAGUGAAGAUGUUAGAAGAGUGUCAGGAUAAAGGUGAAGAACUCCAGUGGUUCAUAUUGGACUGGAUUUCCUUCACCUUGCAGAUGUUCUGACUUGAUUCGGUAUCACAAGUCAACAUGACUACAAGCAAGUCAUUCUGCCCAAGGAUUACCAAUGUAAGCUGUCACGCUCAGCUGCACCACAGAUGCGCCUUUGCUUUGCUAAACCGUUUUUAUAAUUGCAUUUUUUAUUUAUGGAAUUUCUGACUAUUAUUGAGCAGUAAAUGGAACAUGGUUAUAGCUCUGUAUACACCCUGUCGAUCAAUUGUGAAGCAGAAAAACUGAAAUGUUGUGAUUACCUACUCUGAAUCUGCUCUGCUUGUGUGAUUUACCGUUGGGGGAGAAAUGAGGCAUACCCUGACUAAGUGUCUUCUUUAUACCUAUAAUUGCAAAAACUUAAUUUAAGAAUUGUUACAGUAUGAGAUCGGAUUUCUUUGCUUCACACACCUGAUUAGUGAACCACAAAACUGGACAUGAUGACUGUAAUGCAUUUGAUUUGACAAUAGCUUGUAAACAGCACUCCAAAUAGUUAGCUAUAGAGCUUUCCACCUUUUAUUACUUUCUUGCUAAAGUAUUGCAACAUCCCCAAGAGAACAUUUUAAAGUACUCACUUUUCAACCAUUUUGAAGUUGCAAGGAAUGGUUUAGUGGCUGAGGUCGGAGAUAUGAACACUAGAUUAGGAUUUUAGAAACAUUUUACUCUAUACUAAUUAGUUCCACUGUUGGACAUUUGAGAAGCAAUUGUCCAAGUGACUUCCUGAAUUUAUCCCACAUUAGUUCUGCAGAAAACAGCUAUAAAAAUAGCUAUUUGAGAUUAAAAAAGAGAGAGAGAAUUAAAAUUUAAACAAGACUAAGAGUCUGCAGCCACACUAGCAGCUCUGUGAGUCUAAGUUUUCGCUUACACCUACAAUAUGAGUUGACCAUGACAGCUUCACUGUUCACAGGAACUGAGAGUUUUCCAGGAAGUUAAAGGUCCAAUUAUGGGGGCUUUAAGAAAGUGUUUCUACUGCUGAACAAUUAGCACCCAGUCUGCAGAUCAAUGCAGCUUAUUGUCCAUACCUCCACGAUCUGACAUUAUAAAGAUCACAAAUCGCUGUCCACAGCACAGCCUUACACAAACUAAUUGUACAUUCAAUAGUAAUUCAAAGCAAGCUAAGAUUGAGCAGUUUUCAAAGAAAUUGGUGGAACAAACCAAGGCUGAAAUGUCUGAAUAUCGGAAGACGUGUUGAGAUAAAGGCCUCCACUGGUAAUUGUAUGCUACGUCAUUAGCCAACUUCAUAAGCCUUAUAAGUGAACAUGAAGGCUCUACAGCUUCAAGUUUGUGCACAAAUGCUUCUAUUUGUGACCAAUGGGGAAAGAAAGAAUCCAAAACAAAGUAUAGAUGUGUGUGUUCAGUGAUGCAUACUAAAGGUAGCCACUGCACAGCUUUCAAAGAGGACUCAACAACACCAAUGGAGACUACAGUUUGUACCACUGAUUCUCCCACUGUGGAUCGAAGAGCUUCUAAACAGCAGCAUGCCCUGCAGGUUAGCUUGAUGAGCAGACAUUAGUGAGGUAUUCAAGAUUGCACCAUGUCACAGUCAGAUAUAAUGAGCUACAUUGCCCGCAGAGCUUUGUGUCUCUCUGUCAUGGCAUGCAGAUAUAUUUAGCAUAUUAAGUUAUGGAUAACGGACGCAUUGAGAAUGUUAAUAGGAUGCUGAUAAUAUUGGUCUGUGGGCUUAAGGGACUGGCUUUGCAUUAUUUCAGAUGAGAAGCACCUAAUGAAACUAGCUUAUAGGUCACUCAAGCUAACAACUGGUACAUUAGCAGACAUGUCUGUAAUAAGAGCAGAACAGAGAGGACGGAAUGGUGGUUUUAGACAGACAAAGCUAAAAAGCUGGAAAAAUAAAUUAAACAUUUAACUUUGUUAAAAUCAUCGACGUUUCAACUUCCAAUACCAAGUGCGGCAGUGGACGCAGAUUUCUCUUAGAAUAUGGAAAGUAAACCUCAAGAACAUGCUUUAUAUUUUCCAGAAGGACCUAUGAAAGAAAUGCUGAAUGAGAGAUUGCAUUGAGUUACAGAAGCUGGUGGAACAGAAGCUGACCCGCAUGUGACAUCAGGACUUUGGCUCUCUAUAACAGCACAACUCCUACAGGUAAAGAAAGUGGGGGGAAUUCAGCUGUAAUGCUCACUGGGAAAAGAGUCAAAAGGGAUCAUUUUCCUUGGCUGUAGAUGGAGUACAUUAGCAUACACUUACAAGCUGUUGCCUCCUUUCCAUAAGGACACAUUACUGACACAGUGUCCUUGUUAGGCUAACAUGGUAACCUUGGUUUGUACAAAUUAAUAUUUUAGUCAGUUAGGUAAGAGAAAGUGCUUUAGUGAUUUUACUACAACUAAAACGUCUUUGAGAGUAAAUGUCUGCUAUGAAGAGGACAUGGUUGGGCUUCUUCAUUAUCAGUUGAGUUGAAAUGGAAAUCAAAGGCACAGUGAACAUUUACAGUACAGCUUGAAUCAUUUCUGAAGUUUCUUUAAUAGAGUAUUAUCUUAAGAAAACUAUUUUAUAAAGUUAGACUUUAAGAAAUCCAGAUAGAAUAGACUCAACCUUGGUAGAGGAUUCAGUAAUGUACAACCCCGCUGUAUACUGAUAGUUGUUAAAGUGAGGUUUCACUUUAGUAGAGUGUUGUGGUUUUUCGCCAGGUGCAUCAUGUUCUUAACAGUUACAGUAAUAUAAUCUAGUCUUGGAAUUCAGUGUCAACACCCACAUUCAGGAUUUUUUUUUUUUUGCUUCCCUGCUGCCAACGCUGAUAAGGAAAAACAGGUAAUAUUUCCUCCUGGGGCUUUGCAGGUAGAAUACAGAAGGAUCAAAUAUCACCUAACCUUACCUCGGUUUUCAGAGCUUAACAUUCUUGCACCAGUGUUCACCCUCAUUUUCUACCAGAUGUUAUAUGUUUUUCUUAUGUCUUUUAAUCUUUUUAGGCUGGUAUAAUUCAGGCGUUCUUGUUGUUCCUAUUGGUAAAGUAUACACUCACUAGCUAGUUUCAUGCACCACAAACAGGAUUUUAUAUUUUUUUCACUUUUGUUUUGCCCUGACCCAAGCCUUCCAGGGACUUCCAUUUGCUUCAGUUAAUGGCAGCAAAACUCUGUUUCAUCUGUGAUGACUAAGCUGGUCUGAACAUGGCAGGUGAACAUAGCAGCCUUCAUAAUGGGCACCCAUGCUGUUUAAUAAAAUAGUUCAUUCUCAGCCUACACAACAUUUUCAGUCUUGAUCUACAGUGACUCUUUAACUCUAAAAACAUAAUUAACCCCCACACACACACACACACACACACACACACACACACUUUAGUGUAUAAAUAUUCAUUUCUGUGAUAUAUUCAUUUUUUUACUCAUUAAGUCCAUCAUGAAAUGAGGUUUUCAAAAUAAGAGUUAUGGACCAUAUUGGACAUUGUCCCUAUAUGACAUGUGAAUGUAAAUUUCUACUAAAUUUAUGGAAUGAAGAAGCUCCUUUAUAAGGCUCUACUUCAUGUCUUUUCAGGUUUUCACAGCUAGUCAUGAGAUUUGAACAGGAAACCCUCCGGACGCAUGCUUAAUUGUUAGCAUUCAGAAAUCAAAUCCCCUUAGUAACUGGCAGCAUUACAACAAACCAAUAAAAUAUCAACCUAUAUAAGAGUGGAUGUUCUUCCUUCUUAAAAAGAUUAAAAGAUAUUCUACUUUCUGUAUUGCUAUUGUGUUAUAACUUUGGUCUCUACAAAAAGUAUACUCCAUUGUUUGCUACAAUGCAAAAAAAGUUAUAUCAUAAUACAGAAUCAAUAGUCAUCCUCAAUGGCAGGGUGUUUAAGUAAUACGGGUGAGAUUGAGGAAACCAUAG